GACGAACGCUGGCGGCGUGCUUAACACAUGCAAGUCGAACGGUGACGAUCAAGCUUGCUUGGUCUGAUCAGUGGCGAACGGGUGAGUAACACGUGAGUAACCUGCCCCAGACUCUGGGAUAACCCCGGGAAACCGGAGCUAAUACCGGAUAUGACACGCCCCUGCAUGGGGAGUGUGUGGAAAGUUUUUCGGUCUGGGAUGGACUCGCGGCCUAUCAGCUUGUUGGUGAGGUAAUGGCUCACCAAGGCGACGACGGGUAGCCGGCCUGAGAGGGCGACCGGCAACACGGGGGAUGAGACACGGCCCAGACUCCUACGGGAGGAAGCAGUGGGGAAUAUUGCACAAUGGGCGAAAGCCUGAUGCAGCGACGCCGCGUGAGGGAUGACGGCCUUCGGGUUGUAAACCUCUUUCAGCAGGGAAGAAGCGCAAGUGACGGUACCUGCAGAAGAAGCACCGGCUAACUACGUGCCAGCCGCCGCCGUAACAC
rnacentral:rRNA from 1 species